rnacentral:rRNA from 1 species
UGGGGAAUUUUGGACAAUGGGCGCGAGCCUGAUCCAGCAAUGUCGCGUGCAGGAUGAAGGCCUUCGGGUUGUAAACUGCUUUUGUACGGAGCGAAAAGGUCUGCCCUAAUACGGUGGGCUCAUGACGGUACCUGAAGAAUAAGCACCGGCUAACUACGUGCCAGCAGCCGCGGUAAUACGUAGGGUGCAAGCGUUAAUCGGAAUUACUGGGCGUAAAGCGUGCGCAGGCGGUUAUGCAAGACAGAGGUGAAAUCCCCGGGCUCAACCUGGGACCUGCAUUUGUGACUGUAUAGCUAGAGUACGGUAGAGGGGGAUGGAAUUCCGCGUGUAGCAGUGAAAUGCGUAGAUAUGCGGAGGAACACCGAUGGCGAAGGCAAUCCCCUGGACCUGUACUGACGCUCAUGCACGAAAGCGUGGGGAGCAAACA